rnacentral:rRNA from 1 species
UAAGUGGAGAGUUUGAUCCUGGCUCAGAAUGAACGCUGGCGGCGUGCUUAACACAUGCAAGUCGAGCGAGGCCAGGGGGGCAACUCCCUGAGUCGAGCGGCGGACGGGUGAGUAACACGUGGGUAACCUACCCGGAAGUGGGGAAUACCUCGGGGAAACUCGAGCUAAUACCGCAU